rnacentral:rRNA from 1 species
UACGUAGGUGGCAAGCGUUGUCCGGAUUUAUUGGGUUUAAAGGGUGCGUAGGCGGUCUUAUAAGUCAGUGCUGAAAUAUCCCGGCUUAACCGGGAGGGUGGCAUUGAUACUGUAGGACUUGAGUAAAGUUGAGGUUGGCGGAAUUGACGGUGUAGCGGUGAAAUGCUUAGAUAUCGUCAAGAACACCUAUUGCGAAGGCAGCUAACUAAGCUUUAACUGACGCUGAGGCACGAAAGUGUGGGGAUCAAACAGGAUUAGAAACCCCCGUAGUCC